AUAUGAUUCUUGUACAAUAUAUGUUUAUAGUAGUAUUUUAAGUGAACUUGAUAACAGGGUGUUUCUAACUAAGGAAGACACUGCUUUCAAAAUUAUAAAGAGAAACAAAAGGUUCUGCCAAUUGCCUGUAAUGAUAUAUUGGGCCGGCAGUCCGCCUUUGGGUUUAAAUUUGCAGUGUCUAUAAUAAAUAUAAUUACGGGUGCAGUUUACCCACAAUUAAAUGUAUUUGUGAUACCGUCGACGGAUUACAAUGCAGUAAUUUAACUUCACUUAAUAAUUAAUAUAUCACCCUGGAAAAAGAAAGGAGGAAAAAAAAUUCAUAAUGGGUGCAGUUUACCCAGAUAUAUUUUAUAAUGGGUGCAGUUGACCCAGAUAUAUUUCUAUCAGAUUAUCAUAUUGAACAUGGGUGCAGUUUACCCAGAUAUAUUUUAUUAUGUGUGCAGUUUACCCAGAUAUAUUUUAUUAUGGUUUACCCAGAUUUAUUUCUAUUAUCAUAUGGGUGCAGUUUACCCAGAUAUAUUUCUAUCAGAUUGAACAUGGGUGCAGUUUACCCAGACUUAUUGCACUUUUGGGUGCAGUUUACCCAGAUAUAUUUUUAUUAUGGGUGCAGUUUACCCAGUUAUAUUUCCUAAUUUUGAACAUAUAUGGGUGCAAAUUACACAAGGAUAUUCAUGGAAUUUUGAACAUUUAUAGCUGCAUUUCCCCAAAUACAAUAAUGUAAUUUUGUACAUUUAUUGGUGAAUUGUGGCCAAGUAUUGGUACAUUUUUUCAUUGCAGAUAAUUCACGUAAAAAUUACCAAUUAAAAAUAAUAUUUUAUAAAAUUGUAUCGUUGUGAAGAACAAAUUCUUUAUAACAAUAACAUGUUUAAAAAUAGGUUUUCUGGUGAUCCAAUCCCUUGCAUGGUGGUUGGCUCAUCUCUAGUAAAGACACUUUUCAUUAGUUUUUCGUUUUGUGUGGCAUGUGCUCUUGUAUGUGAAGUUUUUGUGUGACAUGUGUAUUUCAUUUCAUAGAGCCUACAAUUUAGUAUCUUCUUAUUUAAAUCUACCUGCAUAUUUGCUUGAACAUUACGGUGUGAUUCAAAUGGGUUCUUCUUCGUCAGCGACUGCAGAGGAAGAAGAAACUUUCUUUUUAGCCUAGAUAAAUCUAAAUUUUCCUAUGGUUGUGCAACAUCUUUCCAAGCACUUAAUUAAUUCAGUCUCAGAUUUGUUUGCGACAUUCUUAUAGAUAUAUGGCUGUUCUCUUUGGUGGAACGUAUCUAUAGUGACAUACAAAAUAGUACAAACUUUAUUAGAAAUAGGGAUUGUUGAUAAAGUCUUAAAACCCCGUGAUCUUUUUGAGUAGAUGGUGCCAUUAACUCCUGUCUGGUCACAAUACUACGUUAAUUAAUUAAAUUUCGUUCGUGGUGUAUGCUUAAACACACCAGUAUCUGCAAUUAAAUCGUCAUGACUGAGUCAUUUAUUUUGGUUUAUGUUAGCCCGCUGUUGGCGGAAGGCUCUCUCAAUUCUUCGAGACCCUUUUGGCGAAAAUCUAACAUAAAAUUACAGGUUUUUUGCAAUCGAUGACGAAGCAAAACCUAUUUUAUAAUAUUCUAUUUUAUAUAAAGGUUCAAACUCUAUUAACUUUAUGUUACUUAGUGACCAGUCAUGACGGAAAUUUUAUGCCAACCAUAAAUAAAAUAAGUUAAACAUAUAUGUUGCAUUUAUUAUCAUUUGUUCCUUUAAAGUGACUAUGUUGGAAAAAUAAUAUUCAGUUUAAGCGCUUGAGUUUAAACUCUUUAUUUUUACACUAUACGUCACAGUAUUUUUGCAAUGACCUGUAUAUUUGGCUCCUCCUCCUAACAAGUCAUUCAAUCUGGUUCGCGCAUGCUUAGUAGACUGGGUAUAUAAACCGAGCACGCUUCUGCAAAUUCCUUUUCGAUCCAGUCUCCGAGCUCCAGAAGCUGCCGUGAACUAACACGGAAAAAUACCCACCCGCCCUUCCCAUUUGCUUUGCUGUUGUC